UACAGAGGGCUCAACCGUUGUUCGGAUUCAUUGGGCGUAAAGGGUGCGUAGGCGGUCGCGUAAGUCAGGUGUGAAAUCUCAGGGCUCAACCCUGAAACUGCACUUGAUACUGCGUGGCUCGGGUACUGGAGAGGAGACUGGAAUUUACGGUGUAGCAGUGAAAUGCGUAGAUAUCGUAAGGAAGACCAGUGGCGAAGGCGAGUCUCUGGACAGUUACCGACGCUGAGGCACGAAGGUCAGGGGAGCAAACGGG
rnacentral:rRNA from 1 species